rnacentral:tRNA from 1 species
AAAGGGAGACCUAAUUCAGGUAGGAGACGAAAAAAAGUAGUCCCUACCAAGAAUCAAUCCCAAAAGGUCGGAGCGAGGCAAAAUUGGCUUUCAAACUAGGUUCUGGGUUCACAUAAGACCUGAAUCAGGAACAAGGGCUAUUAGCUCAGGUGGUUAGAGCGCACCCCUGAUAAGGGUGAGGUCCCUGGUUCGAGUCCAGGAUGGCCCACCUGCACAGGUGGCAAAAACAAAGAAAAAAAGCUCCGAAUCAGCACCUUAUCUUACUUAUAUAGUAAGAGAGAAUGCUGGCUCUGAGUACAGAGUCCAGAGGAACCUUGAAAACUGCAUAGAGCUAGGUGAAAAAGCCAAAAAAGAAGACCGCAAG